AUGAGGCUCCCUCUUCAGCUCCUGGGGGUGCUACUGCUCUGGAUCACUGGAUCCUCUGGAGAUGUUGUAUUGACCCAAACCCCACUAUCCCUCUCUGUCACCCCUGGAGAGCCAGCCUCCAUGUCCUGCAGGGCCAGUCAAAGUCUCCUUCACAGCAAUGGAAACACCUAUUUGCACUGGGUGGUACACAAACCAGGCCAGGAUCCACGAAGAAUGAUUUAUCAGGUUUCCGAUCAGGAAUCUUGGGUCUCUGACAGGUUCAGUGGCAGUGGGUCAUGGACAGAUUUCAUUCUCAAAAUCAGCAGGGUGGAGGCUGAGGGCGCUGGAGUUUAUUACAGUGUGCAAGGUACACAUGAUCCUGCCCCGGUGCUACAGCCCGAACACAAACCUCCCUGCCUGAGGAGGCCCAGCUGCCCUCCUGCACUGCUGUCUGGGGAGCAGCACAUCACAGACUGCUCUGUGUGA